UUGAUCAUUGUUAUAUCCCAUAGCAUAUCAACCCAGCUUCUCCAGGUUAAGACAAGAGAAAAAUUCCUGGGCAGUCCCCAUAUAUAGGAUGCUGUGUAACAUCUAAGAAAUUACAAAUACUUAAACAUCCAAACCCAGAAUUUACAGCAAAACAGACAGACGCUAUACACUGACCAUGGAUUUAUUUCCACAAGUGUAAGAGAGGCAGAAAAUAAAACAGUAUUUAUAUGUCUAAACACCAGUUUAGGAUUAUAUAAGCUAAUUCCUUUAUUGCUUCAAAUUUUUAAAAAAGUGUUAAUUUGCAUUAAACAAAGCAACUUUCAUAUACUAAACAAAAAUGUCACAACCAACAGUCCAAAUAAUGGCCUCAUUUCCUAGUGGCCCAGAAAGACAGGAAAUAAUCCCAAGGACCCUAGUUCAGACAGACUAGAGAGAGUAGACUGUGCCUAUCUUGCAUAAAGCCUAUGUCACAGUUCAGUGGGAUCCUAUACUUUGGUAGCUUCGUCCCAGCAGUCCCCUAUGUGACUAAGGACUAGGAUAAGAGUGACGGCUUCACAAAGGUGAUAAGAGAUAAAGUUUCUUCCUAGGACAUUCAAAGACUCCAAAAUCCAAAAGUUAACUUCUCUGCUGUCCAUCCAUCCAAUUUUCAUUAAGAGCAAUCUGUAUCAUCUAGGAAGCUUCAAAGUCAAAUGUUACCUUUAUUUUUACCUUAUCAAACCCAUAAAAUCACGGCCAGGGUGUGGUCUGGACAUGGACCUUGGUUAAGGUCACAAAAAUUCUCAAAUCAAAUAAUUGGGUUAAGUUAGAGCAAAGUUCAUCAACAAUAAGAUGACAGAAUUCAGGAAAAGUCGGCUUCCUUCUUGCAUUUCAGGAAGGCUAGCAUUGUUCCUAAUACUAGUACAUAGGUGUAAGUAACCUCUGAGUGGGUAAUGCCACCAAACAAAAGCAACACCUUCAAAGUCUCUCUCAGUGACUAGAGGCAGCCAGACACUCAAACUGCCAGUCCUGAAUUACGGCCUCUGAAUGGUGAGGGCUUCACAUUUCACUGAUCAGGGCACAGCCCAAUCAGAAGACAAACCCCUGCACUGCCAGGGACCAGCAAAUCCGCUUUCUUCCAGUGUGCACAUGACUGAAUGUGCUUCUGUCCAUCAUCUGGGUCAUAUAUAGUUCAAUGCGAGCUGAGCAGACAGGGCUGCAAGGAAAUCUGGCGCGGUUCAGUACCUCAUCUAGUCUGGGUUCCAGUAUCUAAUUUUUUUUUUACUGACAAACUCAUUUCUCUACCGGGACAGGAUGCUGUGCUGGCUGGGAGUUCCAUUUCUACAGCAAGAAUCCUAUCUGGAAACAGAGAAGUUGUCCUCUAAGCCACAGCAGCUCGAACUUUUUUGAUUGUUGUUGCUGCUUUCUCCCAUCACCCCCACCCCCUUUUGACAAAGAUCCAACUGUAAAAAGUCUUACGUAACAGUUCAGGACUACUUCGGUUCUUUUACUGGUAUAUCAAGAGGCCUCAAGAGGACUAUGAAAACAUUUACAUCUCCAACUCAGAGCAAUGUGGGUUUCACAAUAUUUCGUAGUACCUCUGGAAAAGGAAAGAAAGGAGACUUCUGCACUGAGUACAUACAUCUCUUGGCCAAACUCACUGAAAAGAUCCAAUGCGUGCCUUAAAUUUGCUUGAUGAUAAAAACUAAACUUAAGGAUUUAAAGCAAACUGAAGGAAUGAAGAUAACGAAGGCCUUUAUUGCCCUGAAAAUUAACUGUCUCAAACACAAUGGGAAACACCCCUACGUCACUUUAGAAACCUUUCACUCUUCUCUAGUUUUGCAAGUCUACGAAAAGCAUUCUUUUUAGAAUGCCAUGAAUUUAAGAAAUCGUAUUUUGUAAACAUCUAAUGGUUUGGGGGAGCAGAGGUCAGUAUUUUUUUAAAGCCUGACUAUUAUCAAAAUGGAAUAAGACAUUGACUUCUCUUCAUAUUAUCAGGCCAAGGAGAAGAUCAUUUAAAAUAAACCCAUUAAAGAGUUUUUAAAAUACCACACAGUAACAGUUGCUUGAUGUUUUGUUGUCGAUUGUAUACAAUUUACUGUCAUAAUACUGAGGACUCAACAAAGCUGGCUAACUGAAGUGUUUUGACAGAGGGUGAGAUAAUUAAACUGAUGUAGAACGUAAACAGUUUAUAUCCAAACCAAAUUCUCAGUGGCUGAUUUUUUUUUUAAUGUGUACCAUUUGGCUGUUUAAAAAUGAAUUUGAGAACAGUCAACUUUUAAUAUUUAAACUUAAAGCAAAUGGUAAUAACUAUCCUGGAUUAAAGAUUAACCUCAAUUCAGCCAGCAGUUCUAUAAGCACUUUUUCUACGGAGUAUGCCUGGAUCCCUCCCAUUAUAAACCCUAUAUUCUGAAAAAUUCCAUGUAAUUAAUUCAUUUUCCAGAUUUUUCAUCAAGGACAUUCAACAGGCAAUAAAAAAUAACCAGUAUGUCUACAAUGCACUGAUACCAUUUCUGCCAGAAGCUAAGACACCUGACAUUUUAGUUACUCUCUGUGAUCUUACUAAAGAGAAAUGCAGGCUUUCUAUUAGGUGGUAGAGUUCUUAUUUUUUGCUUUUUCAAUAUGGAAAAUAGACUACCCCUGAACCUCUGUGGUAACUUGGUGAUCCAGGAUCUCAGCUAGAGAGAUCACCAAUUAUAAAGGUCAAUUUUUUUUAUCUUCUUCUAUGAAACAUUUCACCUACUAUUAUUACAGGCAAAUAAGAAGAGGAUGUUUACUUGUUUGACUUAGAUCUCACUGAAGGUCCUGCCCCCAGAUACACAACAGUAAGUUUUGUGGUGGUCAACGGAGGAGGCAGUACAAUCAGUGAGUUUUUGCUAUCAUAAAGUCCAGUAUUCAAGGUCUAGCUUGCAACCUUGGCUCCUGGCUAUGUAACUUUGGGCAAAUCACUUAAGACUCAGUUUUCUCAUGAGGUCAAAGUACGUUGAGAAUUUAAGGAGAUAAAAAUAUAUAAAUCCCAGUAUACAGUAAGUCCUCAAUAUAUGUUAAUUUCUUUCUUAUCCUUGCCCUUUAAUAAUUAAAGUACUACUAUAAAAUGGGAUAUCUGAUAUUUUCAGAAUUACAAAAUAAUACUAUUCAAAGCUCUUUUCUCAGAUAUCCAUUUGAGUCUGCUUAUAUAUAAAUAACUGCAGCCUCACAAUCCUGAAGUUUGUUAGCUCUGCGCUGUACACAAAGUGAUUUCUUAAAUACAACUUCAAACCCGGAAAAGAAUGUGAGACGCUCCAUCAGCAGUGGUCUCUCAGGAUCACUGGCUCCUGAAACAUGGGUGCAGGCUGAAGAAGGGCUGCCAGGGCCAGGACCCAGUCUUCAGAGGACUCCAAGGAACAUUCAACGCUGUCGGUGAGUUUGGGAUUUGAAAAAACCACCGACCGUUGACUGUACCUUGGGGUCCUUAUAGACAACACUAUAUUUCCUGAAGCAAAGGAGCAUGCUGUGCCUUCACAUAUCACAUUAGAUCACCAAAAUCAGUCCCGCUCCCCAUCCCCCAGAGGUGGUCCAGUUAAUUUUUUAAAAGCUCCCCUCUAUUUCUCUUGCCCAUUGUUCCUUGCUUUUUGUUGUGUUUUCGACAAACAAGUGUUUCAUUUCAACAAGAUAAGGAAAGCUCCAUGAUAAUACCUAACGUUUUUAAAUGUCUCCUAGAAAUAGGCCAUUCUGGAGAGAAACUGGAUGUAGCAAGAAGAGAUUUAUUAAAAACAUUUUGGAGUAUUUCAUUUUGGAGUAAAAUCCAGUUAAGUAUUUUACAGCCAUUUCUCCCAUGUCCCCUCAAAACCUUUAAUUAGGGACAAGGGGAGGAUUUAAUAAGCAAAAAUAGCACAGACCUGUCCAAUGUCUGCACAGUUCUUAACACAUUCUACCUCCAAUUACAGUUAAGGUAGUUAAGUUCUGACAGCCCCAUUAGAAUAUGAGCUGUUUGAAAACAGCAACUGCCUCACCAUUUCCAUCCACACAUAAGCUGAUUUCCAUGUUCGUUAAAUUCAAGUAAAAAGUCACGUCUGGAGUCAGAAGGAUCUGGGAUGAAUCUUGGCUCAGAACUCCCUAACUAGCUGUGUGACCCUGAGCAAGUGUCCGAGUCUCAGCUUUCUCAUGUAUAAAAUGGGGGAUAAUAAGUAUCCCUACCUCAUAGAGUUUUGAGAUUCAAUAAGAUAAUAUAUAAAGUGCUUUGUACCAUUCCUAGCACACAAAAAUGCUCAAUAAAUGUAAGCUAUUAUUAUUUAACCCAAAGCAUAAUCUGUGCUAAUUUACUUUCAAAGGCACUCGUAAUUCUCAGUUCAAAACAGUGAGAAAGAAAUAGGGUCCUCAGCUCGUGUUUAUACCUACCAGUAUGCAAGCACUGCCUGUGUAGUCACAGAGCUACCCGUUAGCUUUUCCAAGAGCUCCUUCCCUUCCCUGAACCAUAGUUUCUCCAUCUUUAAGAAUCUCCCAGCUCUACUGUCAAUGUUAUCUAUAAUUGUGUGGAUCCUCAACGGCUGGUUACUAAGAGAGAUGCCAGAACCAGACCUCAAAAAUCCAGCGUGGAAAAGCAGAGCCAGGAGUUGGGACAGGCCAGGGCAACUUCACCAACUUGAAACACUGAUGGCUGCACUCAACAUUCAUUGCUGUCGGUGGGUUUGAGUCUGAGUCAACUCACUGAUCAAUGAAUGCAAACUGCGGACCAAACAACCCAAGGGAAGCAAAAUCGUGUGUAGAGAAUCACCCAAGUGUAUCAGCUACUGUGCUGGGUGGGAGCUGCUGCUGUCUCCAAUGUACUGGCUAAAGGCUUUGGUUCUAAUACAGAGUAAGCCCUCUAAAUUCCUAAUACUUUUCUUCGCCCCCCUCCCUUUAUUUUUUUAAAAAAACGAUGUUUUAGAAUUAAGGGAAUAUUUUAUAGAAAGAAUAAACAU